rnacentral:rRNA from 1 species
AGAGUGAACGCUGGCGGUAGGCCUAACACAUGCAAGUCGAACGGCAGCACAGUGGUAGCAAUACCAUGGGUGGCGAGUGGCGGACGGGUGAGGAAUACAUCGGAAUCUACCUUUUCGUGGGGGAUAACGUAGGGAAACUUACGCUAAUACCGCAUACGCCCUUCGGGGGAAAGCCGGGGAUCGCAAGACCUGGCGCGGAUAGAUGAGCCGAUGUCGGAUUAGCUAGUUGGUGAGGUAAUGGCUCACCAAGGCGACGAUCCGUAGCUGGUCUGAGAGGAUGAUCAGCCACACUGGAACUGAGACACGGUCCAGACCUCCGUACGGGAGCAGCGAGUGGGGAAUAG